rnacentral:lncRNA from 1 species
CCUGGGACAUAGGGCCAAUUUGCACAUGCAUCGCAUCGCGCGCAUAUUGGCGAGUCCGUGGCUGCGUCCCGUUGUACACAAAUAGGAUAGUCCUUGCAGACAUGGCUAGACGCCAUGCACCCUGUACACGCGCCAUCCAUGCAGUAGGCCUGCGCGCUUGGGCCUGUGCGUUGUAGGCCUACUUGCUGCGCUAUAUGCACU